rnacentral:SRP_RNA from 2 species
GGGUAAGUCCUAUACAACCAGCUCCUAUAGAAUCCCCCAGGGUGGGAACACAGCAAGGGUAUAUGGUCGUAGCGGUGUGAUAUAGAAAGCUUACCCUUU